rnacentral:tmRNA from 1 species
GGGGGUGACAUGGAUUCGACCAUUGAUCGUAAAAAGGUAUGGCAUGUCGAAGAUGACGGUUGGCUUCGUAAAAAUCCGUUACAAUCAUAAAUGACAAAAACAUUAUGAAACUGAACUUCAGAAAUGAAGUUGCACUAGCUGCUUAGUAAUAAAAGUGGCUCGUCCGUCGCGCGAUGCUUGGUGACGCGAACGGAUGUGUUUUACCGAGCGGGCACCAUGGAGGUGCGUAACAGACAUGGCGCCCUAUUUAUGUUACGAUAGAUAGACUUCAGCAUGCUGAUAUGCUGAAAUUUAUCGAAAACUAAAAAUCAGCUAAACAUGUAGAGGUAUGUUUUGAAAAUCAAUGGGACGCGGGUUCGACUCCCGCCACCUCCACCA